GAUGAACGCUGGCGGCGCGCCUAAUACAUGCAAGUCGAGCGAACAGACGAGGAGCUUGCUCCUCUGACGUUAGCGGCGGACGGGUGAGUAACACGUGGAUAACCUACCUAUAAGACUGGGAUAACUUCGGGAAACCGGAGCUAAUACCGGAUAAUAUAUUGAACCGCAUGGUUCAAUAGUGAAAGACGGUUUUGCUGUCACUUAUAGAUGGAUCCGCGCCGCAUUAGCUAGUUGGUAAGGUAACGGCUUACCAAGGCAACGAUGCGUAGCCGACCUGAGAGGGUGAUCGGCCACACUGGAACUGAGACACGGUCCAGACUCCUACGGGAGGCAGCAGUAGGGAAUCUGCCGCAAUGGGCGAAAGCCUGACGGAGCAACGCCGCGUGAGUGAUGAAGGUCUUCGGAUCGUAAAACUCUGUUAUUAGGGAAGAACAAAUGUGUAAGUAACUAUGCACGUCUUGACGGUACCUGAUCAGAAAGCCACGGCUAACUACGUG
rnacentral:rRNA from 1 species